rnacentral:rRNA from 1 species
UACGAAGGGUGCAAACGUUGCUCGGAAUUAUUGGGCGUAAAGCGCACGUAGGCGGCUUGGCAAGUCGGAUGUGAAAUCCCUCGGCUCAACCAAGGAAGUGCAUCCGAAACUGCCGAGCUUGAGUACUUAAGAGGAUCGCGGAAUUCCCGGUGUAGAGGUGAAAUUCGUAGAUAUCGGGAGGAACACCAGUGGCGAAGGCGGCGAUCUGGGAAGAUACUGACGCUGAGGAGCGAAAGCGUGGGGAGCGAACAGG